rnacentral:rRNA from 1 species
UACGUAGGCAGCGAGCGUUGUUCGGAAUUACUGGGCGUAAAGAGUGUGUAGGUGGUGAUCUAAGUCUGUCGUGAAAUCUCCCGGCUUAACUGGGAGGGUGCGGCGGAAACUGGAUCGCUAGAGUACGGAAGAGGUGAGUGGAAUUCCUGGUGUAGCGGUGAAAUGCGCAGAUAUCAGGAGGAACACCAAUGGCGAAGGCAGCUCACUGGGACGUUACUGACGCUGAGACGCGAAAGCGUGGGGAGCAAACAGG